GUCCCUGUAGCGCAAUGGAUAUCGUGUUGAAUUUCUAAUCCAAGAAUCAUGGGUUCGAAUCCCACCUGGGAUG